rnacentral:snRNA from 1 species
GCAGCUAGGUCUAGAGGGAA